UAUCGGCAGGCGUAGCGUUUGAAGACCUCCCACUAGAUGGACGGACGAAAUCAAGCGAAUCGCAGGGAGCCGCUGGGUUAAGGCGGCGCAAGACCGCGGCGUGUG